GGGACUGAGACACGGCCCAUACUCCUACGGGAGGCAGCAGCGGGGAAUAUUGCGCAAUGGACGGAAGUCAGACGCAGCGACGCCGCGUGGGUGAGGAAGGCCUUCGGGUUGUAAAGCCCUUUUCAGGGGAGCGAGAAAGGACGGUACCCUUGGAAUAAGCGUCGGCUAACUACGUGCCAGCAGCCGCGGUAAGACGUAGGACGCAAGCGUUAUCCGGAUUUACUGGGCGUAAAGCGCCUGUAGGCGGUCAAGUAAGUCGGAUGUGAAAGCCCCGUGCUCAACGCGGGGAAGCCAUUCGAUACUGCGUGACUAGAGAACGGCAGAGGGAAACGGAAUUUCUGGUGUAGCGGUAAAACGCGCAGAGAUCAGAAAGAACACCGAUGGCGAAGGCAGUUUCCUAGGCCGCAUCUGACGCUGAGAGGCGAAAGCUAGGGGAGCAAACAGGAUUAGAGACCCUGGUAGUCCUAGCUGUAAACGAUGGAUGCUAGGUGUGGGCCGGAAAGGUCCGUGCCGUAGUUAACGCGAUAAGCAUCCCGCCUGGGGAGUACGGCCGCAAGGCUAAAACUCAAACGAAUUGACGGGGACCCGCACAAGCAGCGGAGCGUGUGGUUUAAUUCGAUGCUACACGCAGAACCUUACCUGGGCUUGACAUGUAGGUGGUAGUGAAGUGAAAGCGGAGCGACCCUUCGGGGAGCCUACACAGGUGCUGCAUGGCUGUCGUCAGCUCGUGCCGUGAGGUGUCGGGUUAAGUCCCGUAACGAGCGCAACCCUUGUCCUUAGUUACAAGUGUCUAAGGAGACUGCCGGUGACAAACCGGAGGAAGGUGGGGAUGACGUCAAGUCAGCAUGGCCCUUAUGUCCAGGGCGACACACACGCUACAAUGGUCGGUACAAUGGGCAGCGCAGCCGCGAGGUGAAGCGAAUCCCAACAAAGCCGAUCCCAGUUCGGAUUGCAGGCUGCAACCCGCCUGCAUGAAGCCGGAGUUGCUAGUAACCGCGCGUCAGCCAUAGUGCGGUGAAUACGUUCCCGGGUCUUGUACACACCGCCCGUCACGUCAUGGGAGUUGGUAACGCCUGAAGCCGGUAGUCUGACCUAACGGAGACGCGGUCGAAGGCGG
rnacentral:rRNA from 1 species